rnacentral:tRNA from 1 species
UCUAAUAUGACAGAAUAGUGUGAUAAAUUUAAGAUUUAUUAAUAAAGUUGUACUUUUUUUAGAA